rnacentral:lncRNA from 1 species
GGGGCAUGCUACGCCUAUGUUAUCCGAAUGUCAUCCAUAAAUAUUCGUAAAGUCCAAACAGUGUUGUAAAAGCAGUUUUCUCAAUAUAUUCAUUAUGCAUCACCACAACAUUGUAACAGCUAGUUAAAUACAUUGUUGAAAAUAAUUUAGCUCUACUUAAAGUACCAAACCAUUCCUCAACACAAAGUAAUGGGUAAGCAUCUUUGUAAGACGUGUGGUUCAUUUUUCUAAAGUCCACGCACAUGCGCAGUUAAUCUUUUUUCUUUCUUACUAGUAUGAUAGGUGAAGCGUAGGGACUAGUGCUUUCACAAAUAAUCUUUUUUUCAACUUACUUCUUUAUAUGUCGCAUGACCUCUUUAUACUGGUUAGGGAGAUUCCUCUGUAUAAUUAGUAGCAGUUACAAGACAUUCAAUAAGGGAGAACCCAGUGGUAAACAAACAAGAAAUAUGCACAAAAUCCCGGAAAGAUGAUGGUUAUGAAGGGGACAUGGCAAGACAGAUCAUAUGAAAAAGACCUUUUUAAUUUCAG